CGCAAGCGCCGGAAGUGACGCCACGGUCUCCAGGAAGAUGGGGGCUUUCCUGCUCUGCGGGGUCUCAGAGCCGACCCACAGCUCUCUUACCUCGGGGUUCCUGUGAGCGAAGAUGAAAGAACUUGAAGAAACGGUAUUCGUUCGUCCUUACCAAUCCGUAACAUUCGUGAGCUGACCUUGAGCUGGGGACACCUCGGUGGCUGAGACAGCCCCAGUCUCCAUGCUACGGAGCUCACAGUUCAGUGAGGGACGUAGACGCAUCACCAGGUAGGGAUGGAUAGGACAUAAGCA